GUUGAACAUACAAAAUCUGGGAACCGUGAUGCUGGAUUUCCCGAACUGCCAGAAGAGAUGAUGGCCUGCUGUGAGGUUUGUUUGGGUGUUAUCAAACUGCAUGUUCCAGGAACAACUAUUGCAUGAACAGCCUGUGAGCACUUUUCCGAACAAUGGGCAACUGACAGGAAGCAACUUUUGGCUCCAGAAAAAAUGGGAAGUUUGAAUAGAAGAUGUAGUUACAUGGUGCAGUGUUCAAAGGAACUACCUGGAAAACCAAAAAAAGAGAAGGACGGGCCGGAUGCUCAGUGGAAGUAAAUUAUCACAGCUCCACUGACUUCAGCAGAAGCCUGUCUGCUAGGAACUAAAACCUCUGUCCUGCAGUCAGAAGAACUUCUCAUUAUAAUGGUGUUUUUUAUAUCUAACCCGCUAUCUGCUUUUCAGUAUGUAACUGCUUAGAUCAGUGGUGUCCAACUUUCUAGCCCCAUGGCAUGGGGUUGGUCUGCAGGCCACAUCCUGCACAGGGUUGGCUUGUGGGGUUGGUCUCUGGAUGUGAUCCUGCAUGCCCGGAUGUGGCCACAGAGAGACCCCACACACCAGCCUGACCAUGCACCAGGCUAUGUUAUCCAGCCCUGGGAAAUUCCACAGGUCUGGAAAUUUGCCUGCCACCACUCCCCCACCACUGUAUUUCCAGACCCACAGAGGCUAGGUGACACAGCCCUGUGGGCUGGAUGUAGCUGGGAGGCUGGACAACCCUGGCUUAGACACAAAUAGAUUACUUUCCCCACCCUUGGUUGAGAAGAGUCUGAAUCUGGUGACCUCUGUGCAGGCUGCAAAAGAAAUCUGCUUUGGUCAUGUCUAACAGGAAAGCUAAACAGCCUUCCCAUAAUGAUGAAGGGGCAGAAAGUAGUCUUUGUAGCUGUCUGGCUGGCACAGCUCCAGCUGAACUAAUUAUUUUAAUACUGGUGACAUUUAAUUGUAUUGCUAGCAAUUGUUAGGGCCUAUAGAGCACUUCAUAGAUAUCUUUUAGUUAUUUUAAUCAAAGGAAAUCAAAUAAAGCCAAUACUGCUAUCAGAGUGUGAAUUGGUGUCUGCUCCGUUUUGACUGUAACUUUGCUUCUGCAAGCACAAGUGGAGAUGGGAAUGUGGGCACGAAAGUCCCAGGUAGA